rnacentral:tRNA from 1 species
UCCCUGAUGGUCUAGUGGUCAGGAUUUGGUGCUCUCACCGCCGCGGCCUGGGUUCGAUUCCCGAUCAGGGAA